rnacentral:rRNA from 1 species
GGGUGAUCCGGAAUGGCGAAAGCAGGUCUCUGGGCAUUAACUGACGCUAAGGAGCGAAAGCAUGGGGAGCGAACAGGAUUUGAUACCCUGGUAGUCCAUGCCGUAAACGUUGGGCACUAGGUGUGGGGGACAUUCCACGUUUUCCGCGCCGUAGCUAACGCAUUAAGUGCCCCGCCUGGGGAGUACGGCCGCAAGGCUAAAACUCAAAGGAAUUGACGGGGGCCCGCACAAGCGGCGGAGCAUGCGGAUUAAUUCGAUGCAACGCGAAGAACCUUACCAAGGCUUGACAUGAACCGGACCGCUGCAGAAAUGUGGUUUCCCUUUUGGGGCUGGUUUACAGGUGGUGCAUGGUUGUCGUCAGCUCGUGUCGUGAGAUGUUGGGUUAAGUCCCGCAACGAGCGCAACCCUCGUUCUAUGUUGCCAGCACGUGAUGGUGGGGACUCAUAGGAGACUGCCGGGGUCAACUCGGAGGAAGGUGGGGACGACGUCAAAUCAUCAUGCCCCUUAUGUCUUGGGCUUCACGCAUGCUACAAUGGCCGGUACAAAGGGUUGCGAUACUGUGAGGUGGAGCUAAUCCCAAAAAGCCGGUCUCAGUUCGGAUUGGGGUCUGCAACUCGACCCCAUGAAGUCGGAGUCGCUAGUAAUCGCAGAUCAGCAACGCUGCGGUGAAUACGUUCCCGGGCCUUGUACACACCGCCCGUCAAGUCACGAAAGUUGGUAACACCCGAAGCCGGUGGCCUAACCCCUUUUUGGGGAGGGAGCUGUCGAAGGUGGGACUGGCGAUUGGGACUAAGUCGUAACAGGUUAACCG